rnacentral:rRNA from 1 species
GACGAACCGAGCGAACGUUGUUCGGAAUCACUGGGCUUAAAGGGCGCGUAGGCGGGUGCUCAAGUCCGGGGUGAAAUCCCACAGCUCAACUGUGGAAUUGCCUCGGAUACUGGGUGUCUCGAGGGUGGUAGGGGUAUGCGGAACUAUCGGUGGAGCGGUGAAAUGCGUUGAUAUCGGUAGGAACUCCGGUGGCGAAGGCGGCAUACUGAACCACUUCUGACGCUGAGGCGCGAAAGCCAGGGGAGCGAACGGG